rnacentral:RNase_P_RNA from 1 species
CAGGCAGAGUGUAUCGGCCGCUCUCCGCUUCGGCGGAGGGAGGAAAGUCCGGACUCCGCAGGGCAGGACGUUCCGUGGUUAACGCGGGAACACCGGUGCAAUAUCGCCGGUGAUGGAAAGUGCCGCAGAAAACGAACCGCCCCGAUUCGUCGGGGUAAGGGUGAAAAGGUGGGGUAAGAGCCCACCGCCCCGAGGGUAACCGAGGGGGCAGGGUAAACCCCGUCCGGAGCAAGAUCAAAUAGGGAGCAAGAGGCGGCCCGCCUCGUUUGAGUUCCGGGUUGAUCGCAUUAGAUAAAUGGCUGAGCCUUCGGGUAACAGAAUCCGGCUUACUGCUCUGUCUGCACU